rnacentral:lncRNA from 1 species
ACCCCCUCCUUUGUUUUGUACCCUAACCAGUCCAAGAAGGGACCUCUCUCUUUCCCAGACUGGAUCUGAAGUGGACAGAGCAGCAGUUGAUGAAUCUGAAACAAGAACUUCUAAAUGUUCCUCAGACUGGAUUCUGUUCUCCUUAAACCACAGACGGAGCUCUGCUGUAAGGCAGGACUUCCUGCUGAGCAGGCUCCUCCCCCUGCGGCCGCGAGGGAAAAGGGGCUCCAGCGGCGUGAACUGUGAAGACGUCGGACCUCAGCUGAGCUGGGGGCCACAGACCGAUCCUCGCCGAUCCUCACCGAUCCUCACCGAUCCUCACCGAUCCUCACCGAUCCUCCCCGAUCCUCCCCGAUCCUCCCCGAUCCUCGACCCAAACAUCCUCCGGACUGCAGCACCCCCACCCCUCCCUCCCCCGCUGCAGUGGGCGGGGCCUCGGUGCUGAUGAUGUUUGGGUUUGACCCGCUCUUCCUCAUGUGUUCACGUACCCCCCCCCACGCCUCGUGCCUUAACCCCGCCCCCAAACACACACCAAGUGUGUGACCCCUCCUGUCUUUAGUUUUAAAUUCUGCACCUUUUAAUGGAGCGGCCAUGAUGUCACAGAUGAAUGUUUAAGCCCCGCCCCCCGUCAUCAAAGACGCCACAGUAUCAGAUAGUUUACCAUUGGGUGCCAUAUUUUAGGGACGGGGAGGUUAUUUGAACCCCCCGCCCACCCCCCAACCAAACGACGUGAGCGCGUGGACCGGUUCUGCUGAAUCCAAAGACCCGCCGCGGCGCCGCCGGCGUGCGCUCAGCAGGCUAAAGGGAAACGGUCCAGAUGCUUUGAAUGUUUACCAGGUCGGACCCUCUGGACCUCGAGCGUCCCGCCGCUCUCUGGGGUCGGCAGUAUUGACCCGUUUGAGGAUCUUCACAGGAAACGAGACGCCCCGCCCCUCAGGUGGUAGCUGCAGGUUUAGAGGCGUGUCACGUGACCUCACUCGCUCCUCCUCCCAGUCGGGACAGCCUCUUACCUCACGCUAACCUCGGCGCAGCCUCUUUUGCUUUUUUCUCUCCUUUGUUGUGAAAAUGAGCUGAAACUCGGCGCCGCUCAGACGGCGGCGCCUCCGGAUCCACGGAGCUUCGGGCUCUCCGGCGUCCGAGCAGAAACAAACUCCAGAACUCAUCUUUCUUCAAAAAGAAGAUGCAAUAUUUUGUUUUUGUGCAAUUGUUCAGAAGGGAAAGAAUAGUUUUAACUUUAAAUGUUACUUUAUUAUUUCAAGCAGUAAACGGAUGUUUUUCCUGUCUGGAAGGUUCUGAAGGUUCUGCUGUUUGACAAUCAGGCGGUUCUGGUUUCAGUCGGACCAAACGAAGCAGAGUUCGCUGCUCUGAAUUCAGCCAAAGCUUGGAAGGGAAACGGACCGUUAAAAUGUGAAGGUGUGCACUCAGGACGGGACGGCUCCUCCUGGGUCCCGCUCGGCAGCGGUUCUGUCUUCCCGACCUUGGACCCGUCUCCCUCCCAGCCCCCCUCCCUGCUGUGUUUUCUAUGAGCCAGUUGAUGUAGCCGUGGUGGUCUGUCGAUGUUUCCACUUGAACACUUUACACUAUGCAACGGAAGGUUCACGCUGCACAGAACCACAGCAUCCUCCACUCUCUUCGUGCAUAAUUCCAGUGUGGACAGGAACCUGUCUUUCUGUAAAACUGUUUUUGUUAUUGAAGCUGACGGGAGCCAGUUAGAUGUUUGAGAAGCAUCAACUUUACUGUAAAUAUGUUUGACAACUUUUCUUGGAAUAAAAGAAAUAAAGAAAAACUGUUUCUGUUGAAUUUUGUUCUAGAUAAAA